UACAGAGGGGGCAAGCGUUGUUCGGAAUUACUGGGCGUAAAGGGCGCGUAGGCGGCCUUCUAAGUCGAACGUGAAAUCCCCGGGCUCAACCCGGGAACUGCGUCCGAUACUGGAAGGCUUGAGUCCGGGAGAGGGAUGCGGAAUUCCAGGUGUAGCGGUGAAAUGCGUAGAUAUCUGGAGGAACACCGGUGGCGAAGGCGGCAUCCUGGACCGGCAUUGACGCUGAGGCGCGAAAGCCAGGGGAGCAAACAGG
rnacentral:rRNA from 1 species